UCUGACAGUUCUCCGACUUCUGGGCAUUCCACGUAGGACGCUUUCUCAUGAGUGUCUGAAACCGUCAGUUCACUGCCAGAAAUGGAGAUACAUGGUUCCUGAUAAACUGGCACUUGCCUUUUCAAAGCCACCAUUUCCUCUAUCCUCUGGGCUGUCACAAAUCCUCCUCUGCACCUCAGGAGUGCCCCUUGGAGCCACGUUCACCACUUCUCUGCCCCUGACCCAGGCUGGUUCCCAGGCCUUGGGGUCCUAGCGUGGACCUCCUGGAAUUUUCCAGAUUAACUCGAAGUACCCCACAACUACACGCUAAUGAAACUAGAGGAGGCACAGCCUCAGCUCCGUGCAGGAUGGAUGCACAAGAGCAGAAUCUCCAUGGGACGCCUUUCUGGAGCAUCAGUAUUACUGCAGGAUUUGGAAGAAACAAAUUCAAAUAAUUUCCAAAGUCAAAGCAACCUAUAUGUCAUCAUACAAACUACAGGCUACGAUGUGCACCUCAUUCUCUUUCUGGAAGGCUGACCUUAAAU